GUUGGAGGACUUUCACGCCCUUGUUACUCACUCACUCUCUCUCUGACACACACACACACUCACACACACACUUUCACAGAGCGAGCCGUCUGACAGAACAUAAACACGUAUUAGCCGUAUCAUCUCUCAUCGACACUUAAUGCCGAAGCGCUGGGUGUUAACACGCCACAAGCCGUGCUAAUGCACUGUGGCGGUGAGCAUUUUGGUGACGCCAUUAAUGCAAAUACGAUUACACUCAUAGAGACACACGCAAGUGAGUUACACACACCAAUGUGUAAAACCUGCGGCUGGAAGGUCCAAAGAUAGAUAGGAAAAGGCUGCUGAAAGUGCGCUUCAAGGAUGUUCCCGCCUCGCCCCCAGUCCUGGCGUUUAUAGUCAUGAAGAUGUUUCACAGACAAACUGGAGGUUGAAGACUUAAUUUAGGUGGUGGGCCCACACGCUAAUGAGCUCUGACAUCCGGAAGAAGCUCGGAGUAGAGCCGCUGCUCCUUUGCGUCCAAAGGAGUCAGUUGAGGUGGUUUCGGGCAUCUGGUGAGGAUGCCUCCCGGGUGCCUUCCAUUGGAGGUCUUCCAGGCACGUCCAACUGGUAGGAGGCCUCGGGGCGGACCCAGAACCUGCUGGAGAGAUUAUAUAUCUCAUUUUGCCGGGGAACGCCUCGGGAUCCCCCAGGAGGAGCGGGAAAACGCUGCUGGGGAGAGGGACGUCUGGUCUACUUUGCUUGACCUGCUGCCACUGCGACCCAACCCUGGGAUAAGUGGAAAAAAAACGGAGGAGUGAUGUUGUUAUAGGAAAAGUCACAUGAUCACCAAAGUCAUUAGGAUUCAUUGUCUGGAAACCAUGAAUGUCGUUGUAGGAUUUAGCACCGAUCCAUCAUGUGGAUGGGACGAAUGAGGUUUUUUGUGAAAAACUUGGACCUGCUGGCUGCUGCCUGAUGAAAAGACAAAUUCACUCCUCUGAGACAUUAACAUCCCGUUAGAUUCAAACAUGAUCACGCUCAAAAACUUUGACCAAAAAACCUAAAACAAAUGCCCCUGAAUUCAAACAUCAUUAAACGAGAACUUUCACCGUGGCAGCCGCGUCAUUUUCCGUUGUCAGAAAUCUGCUUGUGUCGUUCUUGCUGUCUGACAGGAGCCCGGGUCAGCGCAGGUUGAGGCUCUGGCCCCGGGGUGCGGAUGCCAAUGUGAAUACGUCACCUGCUUCGCCCCUGGGCCGUAGCGGCUUGACAGGCCCGGUGUGAAAACAACCCCCCCCCCCCCCCCCCCCAAAUCCAGCCCACAGCUAGAUUGAUCUAUCAACCUCCACCACGGUUUGAUCCUGGCAGCGGCAGUGACAGACGUUUCAUACUUCAUCACUGUCUGUCAGGGCGGCUUUGAUGGAUGAAGAGCUAAAUUGCUGUGAUUAAAUGAACUGUUAAAUCAUUAGGAGUGAGAAGUAUGAGUCCAUGUUGAUAAGGGCCAGUGGUGGGAGACAGCUCCAAACAUAUGACACUGAACAAAACAUGACUCUAGAAGAAAAUAUGAAGGAUGAUUAAAAAACAAAGAAACAUAAACAAAUAAGGCUUAUAUUGAUUCUUCCUUCCUUCCUUCCUUCCUUCUCAUCUCUUCCUCCAUCCUACCUUUCCCCACUGAGAGCGAGAAGUACAGGAAGCAGAUCCUCUCGAAUUAAACUCCACAUACUCCUCUCUAGCUAUUUGCUCCCCAAGAAUUCUCUGCUUCGUUCCAAUCAUAACUACAGGAAAGAGAGGUUCGAGCUGGGGGGGUGAUGGGGGGGUGGUAGGAGGCAGGAGGUGAUGGAUGGCUUUUCAACACCAUGUUUGUACAGCGCAUAGCUGGAGCUGCUGAUGGGAAGGGAAACAACGGACGGAUGAAAACAGAUACGGAGAAGUGGUAAUACGGAUAGUAAAGUUUAAGAAACUUUAUGAAAACGCCUGUGGAUUGCAACAACACCGAUAUCUGUGUACGUGUGUGUGUGUGUGUGUGUGUGUGUGUGUGUGUGUGUGUGACUGUGAAUGUUUUAAGUGUCUAAGCACAAGACCGCGUGGACCGACGAGGUAUGUUGCUUGGCUGGACGACACUUUCUGGUGCAGAGAGAACUAACCGGGGAUGUAAGUGUGUGUGUUCUGUGUUUGACUCAAGGCCAGUUCAGGGUUAUCCAUCUCUUAGCUUUGGCCGAGUGACGGGUCAGCAGGGGUCUAAUACCUCGGCCAGAUGUGUCUGCGGCUCCCCGUGUUCAUGUCCUUGUAGAUACCUUUACCCUCAUUUUACUCUUUUCCUUUUUUUUUUUUUUCCUUUCUUCCUUUCGUCUGUUUAUUUGCUCUGAGUUGCUUUCAGUGACACAUUGUUGGCUGUGUUUCACAGGCAAUAUCGCUGCGCUGUAUAAAAUCUGCCCCAAGCCUCCAGGGUGGAAUGUAAACAAAAAAUCAUAUCAAA